rnacentral:rRNA from 1 species
GAUGAACGCUGGCGGCGUGCCUAAUACAUGCAAGUCGAGCGAAUGGAUUGAGAGCUUGCUCUUAUGAAGUUAGCGGCGGACGGGUGAGUAACACGUGGGUAACCUGCCCAUAAGACUGGGAUAACUCCGGGAAACCGGGGCUAAUACCGGAUAACAUUUUGAACCGCAUGGGUCGAAAUUGAAAGGCGGCUUCGGCUGUCACUUAUGCAUGGACCCGCGUCGCAUUAGGGAGUUGGUGAGGUAACGGCUCACCAAGGCAACGAUGCGUAGCCGAACUGAGAGGGUGAUCGGCCACACUGGGACUGAGACACGGCCCAGACUCCUACGGGAGGCAGCAGUAGGGAAUCUUCCGCAAUGGACGAAAGUCUGACGGAGCAACGCCGCGUGAGUGAUGAAGGCUUCCGGGUCGUAAAACUCUGUUGUUAGGGAAGAACAAGUGCUAGUUGAAUAAGCUGGCACCUUGACGGUACCUAACCAGAAAGCCACGGCUAACUACGUGCCAGCAGCCGCGGUAA